UUUCCCCUGCUGUGUUCGUGAUCAGCGAGGCAACUUAGAACCAACAAAGAAGAAAGGGAAGCUGUCCCUUGCCGCGGCCGUCAGGCCCCUAGCUGUGGGGAAGACUCAAACGGUAAUAUGGCAUCCACCUGUUUACCAGGUUCAAGUUGAUCGCCUGACACGGCACGAUGCGGGGGAAAC
rnacentral:other from 1 species